CCCUCGAUAGCUCAGUUGGAAGAGCGGAGGACUGUAGAUCCUUAGGUCGCUGGUUCGACUCCGGCUCGAAGGA
rnacentral:tRNA from 1 species